UAAAAUACUGGUUUUCAUAUGAUCACCAAAGUUAAGCAAUUUUAAGCCUGGUCAGUAUUAAGAUGAGUGACCAUUCGGGAAUACCAGAUACUGUAAG